CCUACGGGAGGCAGCAGUGAGGAAUAUUGGUCAAUGGGCGCGAGCCUGAACCAGCCAAGCCGCGUGAAGGAUGACUGCCCUACGGGUUGUAAACUUCUUUUAUAAAGGAAUAAAGUGAGGCACGUGUGCCUUUUUGUAUGUACUUUAUGAAAAAGGAUCGGCUAACUCCGUGCCAGCAGCCGCGGUAAUACGGAGGAUCCGAGCGUUAUCCGGAUUUAUUGGGUUUAAAGGGAGCGUAGAUGGGUUGUUAAGUCAGUUGUGAAAGUUUGCGGCUCAACCGUAAAAUUGCAAUUGAUACUGGCAGCCUUGAGGGCAGUAGAGGUAGGCGGAAUUCGUGGUGUAGCGGUGAAAUGCUUAGAUAUCACGAAGAACUCCGAUUGCGAAGGCAGCUUACUAAACUGCCACUGACAUUGAUGCUCGAAAGUGUGGGUAUCAAACAGGAUUAGAUACCACUGUAGUC
rnacentral:rRNA from 1 species